UGACAUGUAGCUCAGUUGGUAGAGUCGGCGACUGUUAAUCGUCUGGUCACUGGUUCGAGUCCAGUCAUGUCAG
rnacentral:tRNA from 1 species